rnacentral:rRNA from 1 species
AGCAGUAGGGAAUAUUGCGCAAUGGGGGAAACCCUGACGCAGCCACGCCGCGUGAGUGAGGAAGGCCUUCGGGUUGUAAAGCUCUGUCACCCGGGAAAAACAAGCAGAUUUAACCAUCUGCCCUGAUUGUACCGGGGGAGGAAGCACCGGCUAACUCUGUGCCAGCAGCCGCGGUAAUACAGAGGGUGCAAGCGUUGUUCGGAUUUACUGGGCGUAAAGCGUGCGUAGGCUGUNAUUGAGAGUCGCGGGUGAAAUCCCAGGGCUUAACCCUGGAACUGCCUGCGAGACCUCAGUACUAGAGUGUGAGAGGGGAUAGUGGAAUUCCAGGUGUAGCGGUGAAAUGCGUAGAGAUCUGGAGGAACACCGGUGGCGAAGGCGGCUAUCUGGCUCACAACUGACGCUCAGGCACGAAAGCGUGGGUAGCAAACAGGAUUAGAUACCCUGGUAGUCCACGCCGUAAACUAUGCAUACAAGCUGUAGUGGGGAUUUACUCCUGCUGUGGCGAAGCUAACGCAAUUAGUAUGCCGCCUGGGGAGUACGGUCGCAAGACUAAAACUCAAAGAA